AGGCCCCGGCUCGGCCUUUCUGCCUGCACCCGCGUGCUAUUCUCCUUGCAGAGUUGCCGUCUACGUCGUCCCAUCCCCUCCACAGCCCCCUGCCCUGAGACCGCACUCUCCGGAUGCUUCCCCAAAGGCUGCGGAAUGCGCAACCUGCCGCCGUCGGGACGGUGGAGGCCUACACGGUGGCCGUCUGCGCGGAGAUAGUCGGCGGCCUGCUUACCGCGCCCUUGCUCGGCUGUGCCAGAUGAAGACUCCAUGGAGGUGGUGGUGGUAAGGAGACCAGAAGAUGUGGCUACUGCAUUGCUAAAGUGGUGCCUGGUUACACCCAAGGCUUUUGGAAAAGUCUGAGAAGCCAGCCUGCCUGCCUGUGCUCAUUGAAUUCACUAAGAGCCUUGUCACCAGUGAAGUUCCCAACACUUUUGAUCUGCGAUUGGUUGUAAAAAGACAAGACCAAUGUGGAAGCAAGCCGGAGCUUUUGCUAAUACAUUUCAACUUUUGGUGCACACCUUUAGUUCAAGUUCAGUCUGUUCUACAGAGCUUAUUCUAGGACAGACAACAAAGGAAACUCUCCGAGGACCCUGGGUUGAAAAAUGCUUUGAUUUGAAAUGUAAUUGGGUCAAUAAAGGUUUUGGGAAAUGUC